AAUAGAUACCCGGGUAGUCCACGCCGUAAACGAUGAGUGCUAAGUGUUAGGGGGUUUCCGCCCCUUAGUGCUGCAGCUAACGCAUUAAGCACUCCGCCUGGGGAGUACGGCCGCAAGGCUGAAACUCAAAGGAAUUGACGGGGGGCCCGCACAAGCGGUGGAGCAUGUGGUUUAAUUCGAAGCAACGCGAAGAACCUUACCAGGUCUUGACAUCUCCUGACCGCCCUGGAGACAGGGUCUUCCCUUCGGGGACAGGAUGACAGGUGGUGCAUGGUUGUCGUCAGCUCGUGUCGUGAGAUGUUGGGUUAAGUCCCGCAACGAGCGCAACCCUUGUCCUUAGUUGCCAGCAUUCAGUUGGGCACGUCUAAGGAGACUGCCGGCUAAAAGUCGGAGGAAGGUGGGGAUGACGUCAAAUCAUCAUGCCCCUUAUGACCUGGGCUACACACGUGCUACAAUGGGCGGUACAGAGGGUCGCGAACCCGCAAGGGGGGAGCCAAUCCCAAAAACCGCUCUCAGUUCGGAUUGCAGGCUGCAACUCG
rnacentral:rRNA from 1 species